CCCCAGGCCCGUGGGGUUGGAUCGCGUGAAUCCCGUCAGGACCGUGAAGGUAGCAGCGGUAAGCGCGUGAAGGUCGCCACGGUCAGCCUGGGGUUU
rnacentral:SRP_RNA from 1 species